rnacentral:rRNA from 1 species
UCAGGCCUAACACAUGCAAGUCGAGCGGACAGAAGGGAGCUUGCUCCCGGAUGUUAGCGGCGGACGGGUGAGUAACACGUGGGUAACCUGCCUGUAAGACUGGGAUAACUCCGGGAAACCGGAGCUAAUACCGGAUAGUUCCUUGAACCGCAUGGUUCAAGGGUGAAAGACGGUUUCGGCUGUCACUUACAGAUGGACCCGCGGCGCAUUAGCUAGUUGGUGGGGUAAUGGCUCACCAAGGCGACGAUGCGUAGCCGACCUGAGAGGGUGAUCGGCCACACUGGGACUGAGACACGGCCAAGACUCCUACGGGAGGCAGCAGUAGGGAAUCUUCCGCAAUGGACGAAAGUCUGACGGAGCAACGCCGCGUGAGUGAUGAAGGUUUUCGGAUCGUAAAGCUCUGUUGUUAGGGAAGAACAAGUGCGAGAGUAACUGCUCGCACCUUGACGGUACCUAACCAGAAAGCCACGGCUAACUACGUGCCAGCAGCCGCGGUAAUACGUAGGUGGCAAGCGUUGUCCGGAAUUAUUGGGCGUAAAGGGCUCGCAGGCGGUUUCUUAAGUCUGAUGUGAAAGCCCCCGGCUCAACCGGGGAGGGUCAUUGGAAACUGGGAAACUUGAGUGCAGAAGAGGAGAGUGGAAUUCCACGUG